rnacentral:rRNA from 1 species
GGUUAAGCGACUAAGCGUACACGGUGGAUGCCCUGGCAGUCAGAGGCGAUGAAGGACGUGCUAAUCUGCGAUAAGCGUCGGUAAGGUGAUAUGAACCGUUAUAACCGGCGAUUUCCGAAUGGGGAAACCCAGUGUGAUUCGUCACACUAUCAUUAACUGAAUCCAUAGGUUAAUGAGGCGAACCGGGGGAACUGAAACAUCUAAGUACCCCGAGGAAAAGAAAUCAACCGAGAUUCCCCCAGUAGCGGCGAGCGAACGGGGAGGAGCCCAGAGCCUGAAUCAGUGUGUGUGUUAGUGGAAGCGUCUGGAAAGGCGCGCGAUACAGGGUGACAGCCCCGUACACAAAAAUGCACAUGCUGUGAGCUCGAUGAGUAGGGCGGGACACGUGGUAUCCUGUCUGAAUAUGGGGGGACCAUCCUCCAAGGCUAAAUACUCCUGACUGACCGAUAGUGAACCAGUACCGUGAGGGAAAGGCGAAAAGAACCCCGGCGAGGGGAGUGAAAAAGAACCUGAAACCGUGUACGUACAAGCAGUGGGAGCACGCUUAGGCGUGUGACUGCGUACCUUUUGUAUAAUGGGUCAGCGACUUAUAUUCUGUAGCAAGGUUAACCGAAUAGGGGAGCCGAAGGGAAACCGAGUCUUAACUGGGCGUUAAGUUGCAGGGUAUAGACCCGAAACCCGGUGAUCUAGCCAUGGGCAGGUUGAAGGUUGGGUAACACUAACUGGAGGACCGAACCGACUAAUGUUGAAAAAUUAGCGGAUGACUUGUGGCUGGGGGUGAAAGGCCAAUCAAACCGGGAGAUAGCUGGUUCUCCCCGAAAGCUAUUUAGGUAGCGCCUCGUGAAUUCAUCUCCGGGGGUAGAGCACUGUUUCGGCAAGGGGGUCAUCCCGA